AUUGAACGCUGGCGGCAGGCCUAACACAUGCAAGUCGAACGAGUGGCGGACGGGUGAGUAAUGUCUGGGAAACUGCCUGAUGGAGGGGGAUAACUACUGGAAACGGUAGCUAAUACCGCAUACCAUCAGAUGUUCCCAGAUGGGAUUAGCUAGUUGGUGGGGUAACGGCGAACCAAGGCGACGAUCCCUAGCUGGUCUGAGAGGAGGACCAGCCAAACGGGAAUUGAGAAACGGGCCAGAUGCCUACGGGAGGAAGCAGGGGGGAAUAUUGCACAAUGGGCGGAAGCCGGAUAGAGCCAUGCCGCGGGUAUGAAGAAGGCCUUCGGGUUGUAAAGUACUUUCAGCGGGGAGGCGUUACCCGCAGAAGAAGCACCGGCUAACGCCGUGCCAGCAGCCGCGGUAAUUC
rnacentral:rRNA from 1 species